AUUGAACGCUGGCGGCAGGCCUAACACAUGCAAGUCGAGCGAGCGGCGGACGGGUGAGUAAUGUAUGGGGACUGCCCGAUAGAGGGGGAUAACUACUGGAAACGGUGGCUAAUACCGCAUACUAUCGGAUAACCCAUAUGGGAUUAGCUAGUAGGUGGGGUAAAGGCUCACCUAGGCGACGAUCUCUAGCUGGUCUGAGAGGAUGAUCAGCCAAACUGGGACUGAGGCACGGCCCAGGCUCCUCCGGAGGCAGCAGGGGGGAAUAUUGCCAAAUGGGCGCAAACCUGAUGCCACCAUGCCGCGUGUAUUGAGAAGGCCUUAGGGUUUUAAAGUACUUUCAGCGGGGGGGCGUUACCCGCAGAAGAAGCACCGGCUAACUCCGUGCCAACAGCCGCGGUAAUAC
rnacentral:rRNA from 1 species